UGCCAGCAGCCGCGGUAAUACGGAGGGUGCAAGCGUUAAUCGGAAUUACUGGGCGUAAAGCGCGCGUAGGUUGAUUGGUCAGUCAGAUGUGAAAGCCCCGGGCUCAACCUGGGAACUGCACCUGAUACUGCCAGUCUAGAAUACGGUAGAGGGUAGUGGAAUUUCCUGUGUAGCGGUGAAAUGCGUAGAUAUCAGGAGGAACACCGGUGGCGAAGGCGGCUUCCUGGGCCGAUACUGACGCUGAGGCACGAAAGCGUUGGGUAGCAAACAGGAUUAGAUA
rnacentral:rRNA from 1 species